rnacentral:lncRNA from 1 species
CGUUCGAUUAUCUCAAUAAACAUGAUGAUUUAUAUAUGAAAUAUACAUAUAAUAUGAGAUUGAUGUUUAUUUUCGAUAUAUUUGAUUUUAGUGUUUUCGUGAUCAGUGACAUGAAAAUUCCCAUUUGUCACAUAAAAAUCCCUUUAAAUCCAAUAAUAGUCUUAAUGAAUUACCAUAGUUAUAUAUCACUAACCUAUUCGGGAAGGGAAAUCCUUUGUUUUCUACCAUUAAAAUAAAGAAUAAAAGUAAAAUCAUUAAACUUCUAAAAAAUCUCAUCAUG